UGAGUACGAGACGCUAAGGCGUCGAAGUAGUGGAUGUCAUACUUCCAAGAGAAGCUUGCACUGUCAUAAGUAAAAAAUGCCUGUACCAUAACCGACACAGGUGGGUAAGUAGAGUAUACUAAGGGGCGCGAGAUAACUCUCUCUAAGGAACUCGGCAAAAUAACUCCGUAACUUCGGGAGAAGGAGUGCCUUAUUCUUAAGGUUGCAAUAACAAGAUCCAAGCAACUGUUUAUCAAAAACACAGGUCUCCGCUAAGUCGUAAGACGAUGUAUGGGGGCUGACGCCUGCCCAGUGCCAGAAGGUUAAAGAAGUCGGUUAGCAAUAGCAAAGCUGGUAACUGAAGCCCUGGUGAACGGCGGCCGUAACAAUAACGGUCCUAAGGUAGCGAAAUUCCUUGUCGGGUAAGUUCCGACCCGCACGAAAGGCGUAAUGAUUUGGAUGCUGUCUCGGAGAGGGGCUCGGUGAAAUAGACUUGUCUGUGAAGAUGCGGACUACCUGCACCAGGACAGAAAGACCCUAUGAAGCUUUACUGUAACUUGAAAUUGAAAUUGGACUUUAUUCGCGCAGUAUAGGUGGGAGGCGUUGAUUAUAAUCUUGUGGGAUUAUUGGAGCCAUCAGUGAGAUACCACUCUUGUAAUGUUAGAUUUCUAACUUUGAAUCAUUAUCUGGUCAAAGGACAGUUUCAGGCGGGCAGUUUGACUGGGGCGGUCGCCUCCUAAACGGUAACGGAGGCGUACAAAGGUUUCCUCUGAACGGUUAGAAAUCGUAUCUAGAGUGUAAAGGCAUAAGGAAGCUUGACUGUGAGACCUACAAGUCGAGCAGGGACGAAAGUCGGUCUUAGUGAUCUGACGGUACUGAGUGGAAAGGCCGUCACUCAACGGAUAAAAGUUACUCUAAGGAUAACAGGCUGACCUCCCCCAAGAGUUCACAUCGACGGGGAGGUUUGGCACCUCGAUGUCGGCUCAUCGCAUCCUGGGGCGGUAGUACGUCCCAAGGGUUGGGCUGUUCGCCCAUGAAAGCGGUACGCGAGCUGGGUUCAGAACGUCGUGAGACAGUUCGGUCCAUAUCCGGUGUAGGCGCUAGAAUAUUGAGAGGAGCCUUCUUUAGUACGAGAGGACCGAGAAGGACAUACCUCUGGUGUACCAGUUAUCGUGCCAACGGCAAACGCUGGGUAGCUAUGUAUGGAGUGGAUAACCGCUGAAAGCAUCUAAGUGGGAAGCCCACCUCAAGAUAAG
rnacentral:rRNA from 1 species